UACAGGGGGGGCAAGCGUUGUUCGGAAUUACUGGACGUAAAGGGCUCGUAGGCGGCCAACUAAGUCACACGUGAAAUCCCCAGGCUUAACCUGGGAACUGCGUGUGAUACUGGAUGACUUGAAUUCGGGAGAGGGAUGCAGAAUUCCAGGUGUAGCGGUGAAAUGCGUAGAUAUCUGGAGGAAUACCGGUGGCGAAGGCGGCAUCCUGGACCGACAUUGACGCUGAGGAGCGAAAGCUAGGGGAGCAAACGGG
rnacentral:rRNA from 1 species